UACGUAGGGUGCGAGCGUUGUCCGGAAUUAUUGGGCGUAAAGGGCUCGUAGGCGGUUUGUCGCGUCGGGAGUGAAAUCCACUGGCUUAACUGGUGGCUUGCUUUCGAUACGGGCAGACUGGAGGUAUGCAGGGGAGAACGGAAUUCCUGGUGUAGCGGUGAAAUGCGCAGAUAUCAGGAGGAACACCGGUGGCGAAGGCGGCAUCCUGGACCAUAACUGACGCUGAGGCGCGAAAGCUAGGGGAGCAAACGGG
rnacentral:rRNA from 1 species